CCCUUAGAUGUCCUGGGCUGCACGCGCGCUACACUGAUGUGUCCAGUAAGCACCUAACCUAUUCCGAGAGGAGCGGGUAACCUUAGCAAAGCACAUCGUGAUGGGGAUAGAUUAUUGCAAUUAUUAGUCUUGAACGAGGAAUUCCUAGUAAGCGCAAGUCAGCAGCUCGCGUUGAUUACGUCCCUGCCCUUUGUACACACCGCCCGUCGCUACUACCGAUUGAACGGUUUAGUGAGGGCCUCGGAUUGGUCUCGGCCCGCUCUUUACCGGGCGGCGCCGUUGGUCGAGAAGACGCUCGAACUUGAUCGUUUAGAGGAAGUAAAAGUCGUAACA
rnacentral:rRNA from 1 species